rnacentral:rRNA from 1 species
UGGGCUUGACAUGUUUGGGACCGCCCCCGAAACGGGGCUUCCCUUCGGGGCUCAUUCACAGAUGCUGCAUGGCUGUCGUCAGCUCGUGCCGUGAGGUGUUCGGUUAAGUCCGGCAACGAGCGCAACCCGUGUCGUCAGUUGCUAACAGGUAAUGCUGAGGACUCUGGCGAGACUGCCCGUGUCAAGCGGGAGGAAGGCGCGGAUGGCGUCAAGUCCGUAUGGCUCUUACGCCCAGGGCUGCACACGUGCUACAAUGGCCGGUACAGUGGGAAGCAACACUGCGGAGUGAAGCGAAUCCUCAAAACCGGCCCCAGUUCGGAUUGGAGUCUGCAACCCGACUCCAUGAAGU